GACAGAAGAUCCGAAGUGGGCACUGCACUGACAGCAGUGAGCACUCGGAUUCAGGAACUGAGACCAUGACCUGAGCUGAGGUUGGACACUCAACCGACUGGGCCACCCAGGUGCCCCACAUUUACAAAAAAAAAAAAAAAAAAAGUAACUCCGGUAGAGGCAGGUUGUAGAUUAGGCAGAAAUGAAAAAGCUGGUAUUCAAAGGAACCAAAGCUGGGAAACGCUGUCCUGAUACAUCAUAAAUCCUUCAGAAUAUAUGGAAUGGAGUGAAAAGGAAGGGAGGAAAGACAAGGAAGGAGAGAAGGGAUAGAAGGAAGAGGUGUGUUCUCAUUUCCAUGUUCCGAUCACUUCAGAGAAGCUUAGUGAAUAAUAAGAUUUGCCUGACCCCAAAAUAAAGAUCCCUUUUCCUCCUCAGUUUUCUCUCUUUCAUUAGUGGAGUUGACAGAAAAAACCCCGUAGCCUAAAGGCAAAUCCUGCAGUCUGGAUUAUGUUGUCAGAAUUAAUUCAAAUUCUUACUUGAAACCUGGUUUAUUUCAGAGCUGGGACAUUUCCCUUGAAAUAACAUUAUUUAAGGACAAGCAGGUUUAGUUUGUUUUUACGUCUAAUCCUUUAUUGAUCAUCAGCUCAGGGUGCCAAGCCCAACCAGGUGAACAGCAGGACUGGACGGCAAGGGACAAAAGGCCUGCCCCAGAAACUGUCUCCUUCUCAGGCCCUGGAGACCCUCCGAAUGAGACCCACAGAGCUGUCAGAGGGGAGAAGCAAGUGCUGAAAUUAUUGUGAGAGAGAAACUCCACUGUGCAUUCGUAUUCCACUCGCCCUUCAUGUCUCUGCGCUACUGUUUAGGCUUUCCCUCUGCUUAUAUCACACUCAGUAGUGUUUCAAGAUCUUACUCUAAGAAAUUUUCCUCUCCUGAGCUCCUAGGACCUUGAAAUUGUAGUAAUACCCAAUAUGUAUCGUUUACCACUUGCCAGGCCAUGUUUAAGCACCUUAUAUAAGCAACCAUCUAGUUCACAGACUAACCCUAUGAAGUUGAUCCUCCUAUUAUCUCCAUUUUACAGAUAAGGGCACUAAAGCACAGAGAGGUGGAGUAACUAGCUCAAGGUCACACAGCUUAUGAGGAACCCUGGAAGUAGGAGAUUAAGAACCAGUGUCCUUGGGGCGCCUGGGUGGUUCAGUGGGUUAAGUGUCUGACUUCAUCUCAGGUCAUGAUCUUGUGGUUCAUGAGUUCAAGCCCUGCAUCGGGCUCUGUGCUGCUCAGAGCCUGGAGCCUGCUUCGGAUUCUGUGUGUGUCUCUCUCUCCUUCUGCCCCACCCCCGCUCACACUGCACUGCCUCUCUCAAAAACAAAUAAAAAACAUGAAUAAAAAAAAUUAGUGGCACCUGGGUGGCUCAGUCAGUUAAGCGUCUGACUUCAGCCUAGGUCAUGAUCUCACAGUUCGUGGGUUCGAGUCCCAUGUCAGGCUCUGUGCUGACAGCUCAGACAGAGCCUGGAGCCUGCUUCAGAUUUUGUGUCUCCCUCUUUCUCUGCCCCUCUCCCGCUUGUGCACACUCUCUCUCUCUCUCAAAGAUAAACAUUAAAAAAUAAAAAAUAAAAAAAAACUGAGGGGAAAGACUGUGAAGUGAAAACCAGAAAGAGAGCUAAGUUUGUUGGGAGCAGUGAGCAGUGUUGUGUGGGGAUCCAGGGAGUUGGAGAGCAGAGAUGAGGUUGCACAGGAAGCCUUAGCCUUUUCCCUCAGGGAGCCAGAGAAGGCUUUUCAACCUAGAGUGUUUGAUCACAUUUUAAUCAGGGCUUGUCUCUGGGUCAAGGGCAAGCAAAUAAGGUGAUGGUGGAAGGAGGGGCUUUUCAGGGCUCACUAAGGGGCCCCCUGAGCCAUCUAUGUGCAAAGGGGUCCCCGUGGUGCCCCUUGAGGGCAGAGCUCUGACUAUGGAAGU